CAAAGUCAGGGAAAACUAGAGUGAAUAUAAUAAAGGGAAGGAGGGAGGCAGGCAACAGAGGGCGGGCUGGAACUAAAACAGGAGUGAAGCGGAUUUUGGGAGGGGACAUGGAAUUGCUCAGUGUGACUUUCAAGUACCAUUUCCACCCCCUUCUGCAAGGGAUUGAGAUGGUCAUGGGAGAAGAACGCCUCAUCAGUGGGGGCUCCUCAGGGCCAGCAUCCAACACAGCAGAUCUUUACUUCCUGCUGCAAACUGGCUCUGACCAGACCUGCCCCAGUGCUGCCUACCCAAUUCCAAAGGUCACCGGUCCCCACUACCUCAUAGCGUCAUCCAGAUGCACACCCACCCGCUCACCAGGUGCUGGCACCCUCAGCACCCACUCUCCUCAGAAACCUACAUUGGAGUCGAGGGGUGGGCCCCCCUCCUUCACCCAAGUCAGAGCCACUACGUCCCAGCAUAUCUGCUAAGAUAUUUUAGCAACAGAUACAGCCAUGGCAGGGAGGGCAGGCAUGCGGGGACUAGUCUGGCCUCUGCACCAACUGUCUUGGCUCACUUUCCCACGCUUCCCAGCAAGAAACCAGCCUGUAGAGAGUGGGCUGCAUGUAGGCUGUGCACCCAACGUUACAAGGAAGAUAUAGGCACUGUCUGAAGAACAGACAUGGGGUGCAGGGACAGGAAGUCUGUGCUGCAUUUCUUCCUCCUGCUGAUGUCCCCCAACCCAUUGCACCCUGCUAUUCCAACCCUGGGCUCCACAUAUGCCCCUCAAACCCAAUAUACAGCAAACCCAGUUACUCCAAUGCACGGAUCUCUAAAACAGAGGCCUUCCAGUCAUUUCACUUGUGACAGUAAAACCAAGCCAGGCUUGCUCGUUUUAGCAGGUCUUAUUCCUUUAUCAUCCAAGACCUCUUUAGAUAUACAAUAGCUUCCUUGGCUUCAGUUCUUAUCAAGCACUACAGCACAGAGAGGACUUUGAGCCCAGCAAGAGAUUUUUAGUUUGCUUUGGAGACUGUCUGAAUUGCAUUUUAACAUCUGGUGGCCUCCGCCCUGUAAUCUUCCUUCACCAAUAAAAAAAAAAAAUCCAGUUCUACUGCUGGGCACAUGCUAAGCAGAGCAGACAAGACAACGAUAUGCACGCACACACCCAUACCCACCAGCACUUGCCUCCUCUCCCAACACACAAAUCAGUUUGCUUUAUCUUCCAGCACUCAUCCUAGUCCAGAUGGGUUGCAAUGCAGCAAGCUGAUAGGUACCUGCAAAACCUAACAGGCCUGCUGGGCUUUUGCAAGAGUGUGGGGGAGGGAGAUCCCAACAUAAGCUAGAAAGUAUCCAGAGCCCAGCUACUGGCAUCAUGCAAUAUCAAGAUCUUUUUUUAAAAAAGCUUAAACUAAAGUCUUAUUUUUCAAGCCUUCAUGAUUAAGAAAACCUUUGAUCUGCAUCUUGAUGCAGCGACACCUGUCUCAGUCCACAGAGAGCCUGACGCAUGCAAGUUUUCUUAUGGCUUGCCAAAGUGGUCUUAGUGCCCCCACCCACACACUUCAGUGGGGGAAUACUCCCUCCUCCAGGAUGGAUCCCUUUUUCACAUGUAAACUGGGUCAUGGGUUUGGGGUAAGAAAGAGGCCCCAGUCUGUCCAGAGAUGAGUGAUUGCAGGCGGCCUGCUAGCCCCAAAUGGUUGGCGUGAGUGACUUUCCACUGCUACUCUAAGCAAAGGUGAGGGCUAGGCCCCAGCAUUUAUGGUAUACUGGGGCAAAGCGGGGUGGGGGUGGGGGGGCAUAGAGCUGUACUUAGAGAGACUGCAAGCCAAAAAACUUUGAGACAGGGCAGCGCUGCUAACUUGACAAACCUCCCACCCUCCGCUAUCUAAUGGCCAAGGACUGCCCUGAGGUGCUAGCCAGUGAAACACAGGGAACCAGCUCUUUCUCCAAGGAUUGAGCAUAAUCACACCCUUUGGGUCCCCAUAUGCAAAGGGGCUUCUCAAAGCCAUUGCCAGAGCUUCUAACCUAUUUGUUUUGCUUCUCCAGUGUUAGUUUCCUGAGCAAAAUUUUGUCCUGUGCUCCAUCCUGGAGAAAAAGCCACCCCGUCUCCAAAGACCACAUAUUUAGAGGUCUGCCACCCAAUUCCAGAAGUGUCAUUACUACACAGCUACUCCUUGUCUUUUCAUAGCAAAUUUGUGACAACAGCUCCACACCUUUCCUCCCUUGGCAUCUGCUGCCUUGUUAGCCAUGUGUAAUAGGUAGUUUUCAAAGCAGAAAGAAGGACAGUCCAAUAGUCAAGGGAUGAGCCUAGGCUUGGGAGCCCUGCGUUUGAGUCCCUCCUCCUCUACAGACUUCCUGUCCGGACCUUGGGUGAGAUUUCUCUUUAUUGUACAGGAGGGAACGGAGGCAGAGCAGGUAACAGUGCCAUCCUGCAUCGGAGGAGUUGCAAGGAUGACGUAUUUACAAGAUUGUGAGGUGCACAAAAUACGAUGGUAAGGAGGUACCUAAAAGAUAUUGCAGCCUUCUGCCUAGCUGCCAUGUUAGGCCCAACUGAACAGCCAUCUGCUGUCACUGGCAUGAUCUGCACAAGAACAUUCUUAGCAAGCCCAUGUCCUUUGGGAGUCUGGUUUUAACAGAUGCAUUUAGCCUGUUCUUUAGUUCCUAACUUAAUGCCGUGAACAGAAUGGUUACGAGUACGUUGUAUAAGUUAUGGGCAUGUAGCAGUAAUGAGGCAGUUUCCUUCCUGUCUCCUUCACCUUAGAGCCUGUGAGACACAAAGAGAAGGGGGUAAAAAUUCAGUUCCUCGCCCACUGUGUCCUUAUUCCUGUGCUAUACCCAGUCAUGUUGGGCUUCUCCAAGACUCAGCCAGGCACUUUUUUGACCAAAAUGACAGUCCCAGUGUUUUCCACGCAGUAGCCCACCAAAAAGGUCAGACCUGCCAUUACAUUGAGGGAAAGGGAUGGGGCUGUGACAUCCUGAAAGCUAGAAUCCCACCUCCGCUCAGGGGGAGAGCCAGAACUGCAGAGAGGUCAGUGUUCCCAGUCAGCCAGAGGGCACUUAACAAGAUAGUGCCUUUGCUUCCUUCUACUCACGGUGGAAUAUAUCUGUAUGAGCAGCAUUUCAGACGACGCAGACACCCACAUGUCAGUCUGGUUCACUUGUUCAGGCUCAGCCUUGAGGACCAGACUGCAUCAAACACACAGUCCACCAGAUCAGGCCUGUCAAGUAUCCAUGACUAAUGGAUAUAAACAGCGCCACGCUGGCACAAGUACUCCCCAAUCAGAAACAAGGUACAAUCUUCCUCCAGAUGAGUGUAUGUAACAUGGAACCUUGGCAGACCAAGUGUUCAUGGCUAUUACCCUUUUAUCACAGUAGCGCCUUGGAGCCCUGUUGUGCUAGGUCAGGAGUGUG